rnacentral:lncRNA from 1 species
GGAGGACAACUAAUGGAUGAUAUAAUAUGAUUCAAAGUAUCACUGUUAUUAAGCCAGAAUUAUUCACCAAGCCUGAUUAAAUAUGUACCGAUAUUCUGCAAAGAGAAGCAGCCUACUGUGGACAAGUCUGAACUUUUAAGUAAUUAUUAGGCCACUUUCCGUUGAGGUCUUUUCUGAGAGUAAGCCUCCAGUUCUUCCUUCCGAGAGCAGGUCGUUUUUCUGGCAGGAGUACUGGCUUGUGAAUCUCGGCAGACUCGCUCAUGUUUCUUCUUUUUGGCGGUCUUUACCCAAGGACAAUGGUGCAGCAGUCUCAUACCAAUUAGGGUCGCUUGAGCCACCCUAUAAGAAUUUGAACUAGUUGUAGCUCAUUCUUUGACAACAUAUGCAAUGGCCAACUGUAUAGGAAUUAACUAUGAGUUAGCACUCAAAUAAGCAAUCAGAUGUCAAGUUCCCCUACUUAGAAAUUUAUGUGGCAGAAAUUACUGAACCUGUCAGGAAAAUGUAAUAUGUGAAGCAUAUAGCAACAUCCUUGUCUUGGAAAGAUCACUGAGCCAUAUGACCUGAAAUGAUAUAUCCCAUGCUUGCUCGAAUCUCCUCAUGGGGGCUCGCACGAGAGUUGAUUUAGUUUGGGUCCCAGAUGAUUUACUAAUGCAUCAUUGAAGUACAAAAUUGCCUUUAUCUAGUCAAAGAAGAAAGGGAUUAUAAAAUUUGAUAUUUAGAUAAUUUUUAGUAGAGGUGGUAAAUGAUUUGAACAGCUUGCACUUGGCUCGGGCUUGACUUGACAGGAUUCUAGGGUAGUUCGAAGCUAAAUAAAUCAAGCUUGAUCUAGUAAUGUAGGUUCUAAAUAAUUUCAAGCCGAGCCAAAAAUAGACUCGGCUUAAACAAGCUUGACUUGCUGAGGCUCAAAAAUAUAUGUUUUAUAUAUAAAACUUUAGAUAGUGGCAAUUGGAUUUUAGAUCCACAUGUCCAUGGUAUUAGGAUUUUUUAAAAAAAGUUUGAUUUUUCAUUUAAUUUUUGAAUUCAGUAAAUGUUAAUUUGGAUUGAACUAAGCUUGAAAAUAAGUUUUAAUUCAAGCUUGAACUAAGCUUGCUUUAAGCCUGAAUUGAUUUCUAGCAUAAUUUAAUUUUUUGAGUAGAUUUUUCUGAUUAAAAGAAUAAAGCUAAUCAAUAGGUUCGUGUCCGGCUUAUUUCAACACUAAGCUCAAUUUAAGCUCUAAAUAUUGGUAAAAAAGUCAAGUUUAAUAUCCACUUUCAAGCUUAAAAUUAAUUUCAAACCAAGCUUAAAUAGACGUAGGCUCGAUCAAGCUCAACUUGAUUACACCCCUAAUUUUUAGUACCAUAAUUAGGAAUUAUAGUUGGUCUUAUGUAUAGUGGUGGCAAUGGGUCAGGCUAAGCCAGGUCUGAUUUAGGUUAGGUCAAGUAAGAACAGCAAUACAAAACCUUGGGUCAUACAUGACCCGAUCCAAUAUCAGGUCAAUACCUUUUAACCCAUACACAUCCAUAAGUCAUUUCAAGUCACCUAUAUUAUCCUUGCCUAAUCUACUUUGUAAGGCUCAAUCCCUAAUAAGUCUAUAUUAAUCUAUCAAAUCUAAUAUUUACAAUUUUAAUUUAUGAAUUUCCAGAAUGAUUUAAAUAAAUAGUAUUAAGAAAAAAAUUAAAUAUUCAAAAAAUUCUUAUUCAAGACUAUGACUCGAGCAAAUAUAUAUUAUUUCGACCCAAAUAGAGCUCUACUCUCAUGGCCUAAGUUGGGUCAAAACUUUGACUCAUACUUAUCCCAGUUAAAGUUCGUGUCAAAAAAAUCUAACCUACAUCCAACCUAACUAAAACUCUCUUCAUCCAAACUCGGCCCAAAUAUCAUCGCCUUUGGUUGGAUUUUUUAGGUUAGCCAAUUUUGUCUGCCCUACUUGGAUGUUUAUGAGCUCAUGAAUCUCUAAGCUUAAGCUUACCAAUCCAUGUUUGACCACUCUAGGUAAGCAAGUGGAUUCUAAUGCUAAUUAUAAUUCAAAUGCUUAAACUAGAAGGUAGACAGGUGUAUGAACGUAUAAGAUCAACAAAGAUGCUUAACCUACUUAAGAUUGUUUCGAUUAUCCAACAAAAAUAAAUAAUGUCGAUAUUGCUAAAAUAUGGCCACUGGAUUAUGAUCUAAAAAUGUUGGUAUUGCUAGGACAUGCACCAAAAUAAAUUUGAUAUCUUGUGCCUAGCUCUUCGGUAAAUCUGCCAAGAAAGCUUAGGAAAAAAAAAACGUCAUUCAUUAGACUCCCGUGCAUAACAGCUAUCUGCCAUUCAUUUAUGCAUCAAGAUGCAGAUGCACAGAUCUCAACACGUGAGCUCUCUAAUGCAGCGUAAAAACGCCCCUUCCAGAAGGCCCAACCAAAGCAGCUCUCCCGCCGCGCUCGCGGUCAGCCACCGGCACGCUCGCCGCCCACGGGAACCCUAAUCUCUCCGUGUUCUCGCCGUGGCAUCACGAUAAGACGGCGAUACCCUCGAGAUACGAUUUGUACUCAUGUCUCAUUAGUAUGCUCUUCUCUCUUUCCCUGUAUCAGGCAUUUAGUAUCAUAAAAGGGUUUCCAAAUUUGGUGGAUAAUAUUUCUGUCUUCAAGUUGAUCAUUUUGGAUUGGAAUGGUACAGAUGCUUUUGGGUCUUGUUUUCCCUAUGAUUUUACUCUACUUUUUUCAAUUUGCCCAUUUGAACAUUUUGAGUUGCUAAGGAACUGGCUGUUUACAGGUGACGGAGAAUGGAAUGGUUCUUAGAAAACUUGCUACGAGAGUGCAUGUGAUUAGCUGCUCAUCUUAUGUUAUAGGGACGAUUUGGAUUGAGGGAAAAAAAAAAGUUUUUUGAUGGAGCUGAAUAUGAUAUGUGAGAACUGGGAAGGUUAAAUUUGCUUUUCUUUGAAUGGAUACUUGAACUAUCUUGCUGCAAUAGGAAGGUUAGCUCGAAUUUACUCGUCUUCUAGAAUAAAGUAAUCAAUUACGAGGAAAGGCCCACUGAUCUGGGUAGCUAGAAAGAGAACCUAUUGAUAUGUCUUAGUUAGGGUGCAUAAAAAAUGGAUUUCACGGAUGUAUGAUAGCUGGGGUAAUUAUGGAGAUGAGUUAAAUGUUAUGGCUAUGAGAUUUACAAUAAGCGGGUUUUUACGGAGGAAUUCAGAAUCUGAAAAGGGGAGGACUGAUGCAAGGAGAUUUAGAGAAGCAUUUUAGAGGUUGGAGGUUGAUUCCCCUUGAAGGAAGCCCCAACUCCUUAUGUUUAUAAUUCAUAUAAUGUUAGAAGGAUUAAAUCAGCGGGUGCAUUGAUUGUUAUACUAAGUGUUUACAGAGGAGAUGGCUGAGUGGAGUAGGGGUUAGGAGAUGUGGUUCAUGUAGAGAUAGAGAUUGACAUUUGGCUUCCAAGGAAACAAAAACAAAUUUUAGACCUCAGCAGCCAUGGGCCACAUGAUGCUGCACAAAGCCUUUCUGACUAUAACAGUGGAAUGUUUGUAUGACUCUUGGUGAUAGACUAGCCUAUAGCCUAGACAUAGUCUAGGCAAUCACCUAAUUGACGGGCUUGGUACAAAUUCUGCCAAAUUAUUCUUUGACUCAAGUACUUCAUUUUCAUAAUUAGAUCUUUGAACUGUUUCAAAACGUUAACUUUUAAGAUACCUUGAAACAUAAGCAAUCAAGACACUUUCAAGUCAUCUUAUAAUUUGUUAAACUUUCGAAUUAUAUUUUAAUUUGUUAAAUUUAUACUGAGUUCGUAAUAAAUGUAAUAGAAGUAAUGACAUAUAUUAUUGUUGUUGUUUUAGCUCAAAUUCUGAAGUUUGUCAAGCUUCCUUAGUUGUCUAUCCUGCUAGAGAUUGGAGCUAAGGUUGAUAUUGUUGAUGAAAGAUCCUUUUCGUGCUUACUUGUUUAACACUUAAUUUUAGGUUUUUUUUAUUAAACAUUAUAAUUUUUCUUUGAGAUUUAAUCGAAAGUUUGUCGCUCCCUUAUAUAUGUGUCAUGUAAGAAAAAGAUUGCAAGAAAAUACUUUAUACCAUAUUUAUGUGUGCAUGUACAUAUUUAGAUACAUACAUGUUUAAGAACGUAGCUCUAGGUACACACGUGUUUAUGUGUUUGCACAUGUAUGUUUUUACCUAUACAAACUAAUGUUAUAUUUCUGCAUAUGAACUCAAAUAAACUAAUGUUAUGUUUCUACAUAUGAAUUCAUAUAUAGAACAAAUUCAUUCAUAAAUGUAUAUAUAGUACAGAUAUAGUUACAUGUACACAUGAAUGUACACGUGGAUCUUUGUCAAUGUAUAAGUAUAUGUGCAUGAUAGUUUAGGCAAGGCUCACCUAGGAGUUUGCAUGCCUGUCUGUCACCCAUGCAGUAGCCUCGUUCCUAGGCAACCAUCUGUAACGACUUUGGUUGUAACCAUCCUAUGAUUUAAUAGUACCGGUACCAAAUAUAUGCUCGUGUAUUGUCCAAGCUCUGAGGUUCAGAGAAAUUCAAUAUCAUAUCAAACAUAUCAAACCUCUUCUAUUCCACAUACAAAACGAAAAGUAACCAAUUACCACUAAUGUUAAUGUAUAUACAAUUAUAAAUGGAAUCUCAAUUGACUCAAAGACAAACUUGCCCAUGCAAACAGUACAUUAAGUAUGGCUUGGCAUCAAUACUCAAGUAAUAAGGCUGAAUCAACAAAACCUUUGCAGCAUUCAUAGGCUAGAAUUCUAGUUGCUGAAUAAAUAAAAGACAAGCCAAAGGCAUUGACGAUUCUUCAUUGCAAGUUAAGGAAUUACCAUGCUUUACUGUGAUCCCCUGCUAUGGUCCAAUCCUAUCAGUAGAAAAUCAGUAUGGGAGGACAAGUUUCAUUUUUGAAAAAAAUAUUAGCAUAAAAUUUCAACAUCUUUUUGACAGUCACCAAAUCCACGCAUGAGUAAAAUCUACAGAUCAGCCAGGUUCAUGCAUAUGGAUGGAAAGUCAUCCUUUGUAAUGUUAGAAUAGGGGACAUUGGCUUGCCUGAGUCUGAAUUUGCAAGCAAUCUUGGCAGUCUCAUUGAAGUCCGCAGGCAGCUUUGGCAUUUUGGUUCUUGGAGUCUAUAAUUCCAAUCUAAGUAGGUUGACACACAAAAUUGGAAAAUGGCGUUUAUAUGGCUAAGCUAUCUUUAGAGAAGGGUAAGAUUGUGUCACCUUAGCAGCUCUAUCAUAGAAGAAAGAUGCCCCAUAUGGGUUCUUCUGCUAACCUCCACCUCCACCAUUCCACACACCAAUCUCAUGAUUUAGCCUUUGCUGACCAUAUAAAUUCUCAGUUUCUCAAAACUUGAAAAAAGAAGCAGAGUGCCUUGAUCAGAUGCAACCAUCCCAUGAUUUAGCCUUUGCAAGGACUUCUAUAGAUUAAGUGAAGGAGAAGAAUUGAGCUGAAAUUUUAACUAUUAGAAAUGUUAAAGUCUAGAUGCCGAUAAGUUAUAUGAACACAACUUUGCAACUUGAGCAGCAUUUCAUGAACCGUGCCUUUUUUGGCAUAUAUUUGAACAUAAAAUAUACUUUUCUGCAUAUCUAGGUAUGCGCAUCUUAGACCUUCAAGCAUACUCUCUUUUGUGCUAUCAAUCUCUUCUGUUAGCUAACCAAUUGAACCCCAAAGCUUAAGUUGGUAGAGAUGGGUUAACAAUGUGCAUCAGGCUUAACAACCACCACCCACGGGGCAACCUGGACCAUGCAUGUGGAGGGACCACAAUGAGUCAAAAUAACAAUUGGGUUAAUUAAAUCAGUAAUUAGCAUGGAGGGGAUUCCAACUCAUGACCUCCAGCAAACCUGUGCCAGAUACCAUGUUGACUAACCAAUCAACCCAAAAGCUUAAGCUAGUAGAGAAUGUGUCGACAAUGCAGAUCAGGCUUCACAUCUUCAUUACAAGUAAAAUUUCAUCCUUUCUCAUGCAUACAUCGUAAAGGAUAAAACCAAGCAGAUGAGUAUGACCCUCUUCAUUCCAUGGAUGAUAACUUAUGGUGAGCUGUCUGGGAAUGUGGUUCUUUCCUCUUUCUUGUUUAUGUUUCUGUUGUUAUUUGAGAUUGUGCAGAUAGGUUUAUCUGGUUGAGAAUGUCUUGUGCUGUUUUGUUCUGUUUGUUUGUGUUCCCCCUCUCAAGGAGGUUUUGGCUUCUGAGGUUGUUUGUUCUACAUCUGGUAAAACGAAGAAGUGCUCAAAUGCAUAUAAUAAAAGAAAAUCUGACAAAAUUUUAAAGCUUUUGUUGAUUGUGUUCAUAUGCAUAUAAAAUAAAAAAAAAAUCUGGCAAAUUACUCCUUUGUGUGCUAAUAAUAUUCAUAUGUAUCUGAACCUUGAGUAACAAAGUUGGUGCCUGCAAAAGUGAGUGAUGGAGCAAGAAUGCCUAGGCAAUGACGGAGUAAAGCUAGGAAGGACGUAGUAGAAGAUCAUGUCUAAGGAAGAGUAGAGAUUGUCUCGCUAGAGGAUAGAUGAAUUGAUUGGUAUCAUUUAUUCAUAUGUAGAAAAGUUGACAUGAAGUGAUCGUAGGAGGGCAUUAUUUUAAUAUGAAAGCCUAAAGACUGUGGUAAGAUUGAAGGGUGGGACUUGAGGAAAACUGGAUGGCUAUUGAGAGGUGAUUCAAAACACCACCAUUAACUAGGCUUUACCCUGUGAUAAAAAUGAUUGAUGUCAUUUGUGAAGCCAACAAAUUAGAUAUGAUAAAGUUUAUAAAGUUUAGGCAGUAAAUAUCUGUGGUAAUUUCUGUCACAGUUGUUUCACUUGUUUAAUUCUUGUAGGUUUUUUUAUUUUUUGCCCUAUACAGAAGACUCUCAGCUAUCUGCUUCCUUGUGCAAUAAGUAUGUCUGCUUGCAAAAAUGUUAUUGAAGUCUCAAAUAAUCUGUUUUAUUCACAUAAUCUGCCUGUAACUGAUUUGAGUUUCAUGCAUCAGUUGUGGCGCAUAUGUAGGUUUCUAAUUUUCUAUUGGUUUUUGGUUUUUGGAGGUUUCUGAUUUACUACAUGUAAUUAUCUAUUGCUUGAAUUAAUGACUCUUGCAUUAAGUUCUCUUGAACUAAAUACAGACAGAUUUGACUUGACACAACAUUUUCUAAAUUUCUGACAUCAAGAAUUUUGGACUCAACCCAAUUAUGAAUUUGUUGUACUCAUAUUCUAUUCCAAUUAUUUUUAUAUCUCACGGAGACCCCUUUUUGACCAUUACAUUUGUGAGUUACUUUAGGGUGUUUUUGAACAACCCGAUAUGAAGGCCAUCAUUUGUCUCAAACAGUCCUUUUUGUCUACUCUAGCAUGCCAUAAGGGAUUGAGGAGCUAUUCAUCCCAGAUGGUACAUGCCAUGGGCUGCCGAACCGCGCGGUUCGGCCCAUACCGAGCCGAGCCGACCUGGUAGGGGACCGAGUCGGUUCACCUGUGGGGUCCCUGCUGGGUCAGUUCACCUGUGGGGUUGGAACCAAAUCCGAAUUGGUCGGAACCGGUCCCGAACCGCAUGGAAUCGGUCCGAACCGGCAGUUUGCACCGAUUCGUACCGGUUCUGAACCGGUUCUACCCCUAUCUCCUUUUCUUUUUAAACGAUGGGAUGUUGGGAAAGCCUAAGAACAUUCUUAGGCCUUCCUAACAUUCUCCUUCAAGCCCCCAUGCAUUGCGGCCAAAAACGUGAUGAUUCAAGAAGGAUCCAACCCAAAAUAAGGUAUACUUUCUUUUCCCUGCCUCAUUUUCUUCUUUUUUUCAAAGUCAAAAAAUGCCUCAAAAUUUGCAAACUGAGCAAAGAUCGUGCCAAAAUUUUUGAUUGUGGCAUGAUUUCAUGAUUUGUUAUAGAUAUAUAUGGAUGAUCUACAUAAUUCCACAAAAAAUUUUAAUUUUUGAAUUAUAUAAUUUUAAAAAUUAAAAAUAUAUAUUUUUUGAUUAAAAAUAAAAAAUAAAAUUCAAAAAAAGACUGUAACAUUAUAAGUGUAUUUACAUAUAGGAGACGGGCUCCUCGAGAUUAUUCAGGAGGUCAUAAUGCAGCUACAAAUGACUUCGCACAUGGAAUAGGAUUCAUAGACGUAUCAGCUUCCGAGUCAUAUACUGGUUUCUAUUGCUUACAACCACUGGCAGCCUAUGAUCCAUAUGGAUACAAAUAUAGAUAUGGUGCAUUUGAGAUAUCGUCUUUCGAUGGCUAUUAUCCUACGUAGUCCGCAGUAUCUUACGGGUCGGAUUUUGCUGCCGGCAUAUUCGGAUGGGCUCCUCCACAAUCAUAUUAUCAGCUAGAGGACACCUCUUAAAGCCAAAGCUUCAGCAAAAGAUCUGAGAGUGGUUAUAAGUUAGAACGCAUUCCUUAUGGGAUGGGCGUACAGGAUUACAAUGCCGCUUGGUUAAAGGGGUGGGUUGAGGUGCAUUCUGAUUAUGUUAAUGAUCCGGAUAUCUAUGAGAGGCAUUGCCACUCGACAAGAUUUUAGAUAUCGAUAUAUAUGUUGUACUUUAAAUAUAUGUAAUUGAUUGUAUAAUUUUAUAUUUUGUAUCUUACUAAUUGAUUUUAGGAUAUUUCAUAUUGCUUCUUGUAACAUACAACAUUAAUCAUUUUAUAUUUUGUAUCACUUAAAAACAACAAGAUGCAUUAUUUAAGUUAUAUUAGGAUUAUAGAAACAUCAAAUUAUACUUAAAAUCAUUGAAAAAAUUGAAAAAAAAAUUAAUUACCAAUAAAUCAAAUCUAAAAAGGCUUAAAAAAAUUUGGCAUGCACGCCACGACGUACUGUGUGUCGGUAUGGUACCGAACUAGUACUAUACCGAGCCGCCCGCCGAUCAGUACAGGUCUCGAAACCAAUUCAGCAGACCUUGGUGCAUACCAUAUGAACCACAAACAGGCAGUCAUCACUCUCUAACACCGGUAUAUGGGUGAACUGGAACAAUGCCACCCAAACCAACAGAUGCCUAACUAGCACCAGCCAGUGCGUGCUCAAUGCUACCCAUGUCUGUGUCAAUAUGGCAUGUACCACAUUACAUGUCCUACCAAUGGGUGGUCAGCAACAUAUUUUGAUUCCUGCAUAAACUAGUGCCUGGUUUUUUGCCCCGUCCAGAUCUCCUGGGUACAUGACUUGGUCUUUGACAGAUCACUUAAAGAUUGCUUUGCUCCUGGUUAGCACAUCCUGUUGAUCCCUUUCUCUAUAAAUUUUCUCUUUACACAUCAUGUCAUAUGAGUGGGUGGUCAGCACCAUAUUUAGAUCCUUCCAUAUCAUUUGUGCCUGGUUUUUUGACCCUACCAGAUCUCCUGGGUACAUGACUUGGUCUUUGAGAGAUCACUUAAAGAUUGCUUUGCUCUUGGUUAGCAUGUCCUAUUGUUCCCUUUCUCUAUAAAUUUUCUCUUUACACAUCUAAGUUUUCAGCAUAUUCAUAUGCUUGCAGCAAAGCACAUUGGUUGAAUAGUACUUCAUCUAGCUGAGAAAUUAAUCAAAGUCAUUCACCCUUUUGGUUACGCAAGGUCCAAUUAGUUCAGUCAAGUAAAAUUAAAACUUCAAAACAUCUUGUUUCCUUUCUCCGAAACUAUUCAGCUCAAUAUAAGUGGUCCCUUUUAGCAAACACGGACUAAUUUAUGUCAAAACUUAACUUAUCAUGCAUAAAAUUUCUCUACUGCAGUAAGACCUCCUAAAGGGCUGCUUGGGUUUCCCAACAAGCUGUCAUCCAUUUAUAAUUAAGCCCUACAUAUUUGCAUAAAGAAAGCAUAAUUUAGUUACACUUUAGAUAUAUAACAUGCUGUUUACCUUUUUGGUCUCUAAGAAGAGGAGUUGUGAGACCAUAUUGUUCUUUGAUCAUGUGCGUUCCACUUGAAUUUGUAGAGUGCCUUGGAUAUGUGACAGGUCAACAUGCUUCACUUAACAUGGGAAACUCCCUUUUGUUGGAGGACACAAUUGAUGUCUUUUUUUAUGGUGACAGCACAAUUGAUGUCUUUAGGGAGCAAACUUUUUACCACUUUGGUAGCUUUAACCUUAUUUUGAGCUUGAGCUCUCAUUAUAUGAUUGCCAAAUUAAAGUUAUUUCCUGAUUGUUUUAUCAAUUCUGUCCAAACAACAUUUGUUUGCUGGACAUUCUCUAAUAUUUCACUGUACACUUGCUUGCUUUGGCUGGUGUUCUGUUAUCGUAAUUUUCUCAAAUAUAUCCAGCCAAUGCAAACUGAGGUAGCUCAAGUUGUCCAAGCCCAGUAAGAAACCUAGAUUUCUUUUCUUUAAUAAAAUUAUAGUACUCCUAGAAAGCAAACCCUUCAAUUGGGAUGUGUCAGGAAUCUCUCAGAGACUAUUCGGAUAUACUUCUCCCUUGCCCAGCUUCAUGUGCUACAUUGUUUCACUUCUUUACAUGUUUACUUUAAUGAAUCUCAGCUGGCUGUACCCUAUUCAUCAAGGUUUUCCCACGAGUCUGUUGAACACAAACUAAGGUGUUGUAAUAUUGCGGUUCUGCCUGCUUAACAAAAGGUUUUUCUGUAGGUAAAUUAUAUAGGAUUUUUUUCUUUUUUCAUAUGCCAACUAGCUAUAGACAUUUCUUGUGAGGACCCGUGCAGGCGUGUAUUUAGUCCCACAUCGGUUAUUCGCUGAGUAGAUUUUGGAUACUUAUACAGGAUCAAGGAACCCAAAUAAUACCUUCCGUCUAGCCAUUUUGGGUGAGGUCUUGCAUUGUUAUAAAUGGUAUCAGAGCAUACCCGACCCAUAACCUAUGUGGAUUAGGGGACACUGCAACAUAGAUCUAUAGGGGUUGAUUACGAACCGAUCAUGGUGUUUAUGAUUAGAUUUGAAUGGAUUUGAACACUUAACCUGAUCUAGCUAUUUUGGGUGAGGUCUUGAAUUGUUAUAAAUGGUAUCAGAGCGAACCCGACUAUAACCUAUGUGGAUUAGGGGACACUGCAACGCAGAUCUAUUGGGGUUGAUCACGAACCGAUUAUGGCGUUUAUGAUUAGAUUUGAAUGGAUUUGAACACUUAGCCUGACGAAGACGUCAGAGCUUGAAUGGGGGGAGUAUGUGAGGACCCGUGCGGACGUGUGUUUAGCCCCACAUCGGUUAUUUAUUGGCUAAAUUUUGGGUACUUAUACAGGAUCAAGAAAUUCAAAUAAUACCUUCUGGCUAGCUAUUUUGGGUGAGGUCCUGAGUUGUUACAUUUCUGUUCAUUUAUGUACUCCUUUCUCAAUCAUAUAUGAUCACAUGAUUAAACCAAGUCUAGUUAGAUCCAGUAAAACUAAGUCUAGUUAGAUCCAGUAAAACCAAGCCCAGUUAUAUUUAGUCCUGACACUAACAUUGCCAUGUGGACAUGGCCAUUGCCUUAUUUUGGACUUCAGCUGCACCUUAUAGUUCUUGCUAAUUUUUUGUCAAGCAAGAAAGCUUUCAGUUUGACACGAAAAAUUCAGAUCAUACUUCAUAACCUACACUUCUGCUAAAUCUACUGUAGAAUCGGCUUAUGCAGGUUUCUGGAUGCUAAUGAAUAUACUCACUUGAUUGCCGAACAGGUCUGCUGCAGCUGACAGCUAUUGCAAACUCCUAACAGUGAAUGCUACAUUAACACUUUGUCCUUGUUCUAGCAGUAAGAAGAUCUUGUGGGUUACUAACCAGGCUUCAUAACUCUGAAGUGCCAAAAGGUGCAGCUGACCUUGUUAUUGGAUUUCAUCUGUCAUUUGUACGACAUACUUAACGUUACAGGUACUUCUGGACCCACAGGUCAUUUAAGUAAAUGACAUUCUUGAUUGUGGUAGAUUGAGCAAACCAAACAUGCUAAGUUGGUUAGGCUGAGUUGAAGCUUGAGAAAAGGAGAAAGUUGGUGACAGAUCUAGAAUUCUUAAAAGCUAUCCAAGAUGAUACUACAUGUCAUUGAAAAUGAAAAUUUUUGUCCUGCAAGUCUUAAGUGCAAACAAGAAAGCCUAGAGCCGCUCCUCAUUUAUGCCUGUUGUCACUGAUUGAGGAGUAAGAAUGAAGAAAUAAUGAUGACUUGUUAGGAAAUCAAACCUUAUUUGUGGUGUUCAAGUCUUGAACCGCAUCCAAAGAAGCCUGGACGCCUUCUCAUUCACAUCUGCAGCCUCCUUGAUG